rnacentral:tRNA from 1 species
GCCCGGAUGAUGGAAUUGGUAGACAUGCACGCUUCAGGUGCGUGUGCCACAAGGUAUGGGGGUUCGAGUCCCCCUCCGGGUA